UAAGUAAAAGAAUAUAUAUGUGUGUGUGUGUGUGUGUGUGUGUGUGUGUGUGUGGUGUGUAGUAUAUAUGUGUGUAUGUAUGUAUGCAUGCAUGUAUAAAGGAACCAUUUAUCACUGAAUGAGAGCGAUUCUGCUGAAUGCACCUAGCAACCAUUGCAUCACAUAUCUCAACUGUGGACCAAUUUACCAAAAAAACUUUUUGAAAUAGGAAAAGUUUUAUCUACUGGAAACCUUCAGUUUCGUACAAAGAUAUAAAAACAAACUUUAUGAUAACGAAAAGAAAAUUCAGGAGAAAAAACGCCAGAUAUCCUAAUGAAUAAAAUACUAGUCAUAUUAAAAACGUCAUUGAAUAAUUGUUCCAAUGUGAGAACUUUUUCAGUUGAGCGCCAGCUUUCAAAAGAUGAAAGCUGAACUCUACUGAAUUGCUUUCCAUCUAUUGACGAGUGCAUAUUUUAUUGACUUUAGAGUGAUAUAAAGAAAAGCCGAUUUUUAAUGGAUUUGAACUAAAACCGAUCUUUGGUUUUAAGUACAUAUAUCUGCAGUAGUGAUAAUGAAACGAAAACAAUCCGGGAAAAUACAAAAACAGAAUGAGCAGAACGAAUAUAUAAAUGCGUAAAAGUCAACCUGUUUCAUAUCCGUCAUCAAACUGCAGCCAUGGAGGAGCACCGCAUAUGUCAGCUGAUGUCCAUUGUAGCCAUUCUGAAAGAAACAGUAUGGAAGACACGCGCGAAGGGAUUGCGACAGGUAUCUUUAUUUCCAGCCAAGGUCUAGUUAAUUACUUUAACUACCACCUUAAAAGUAAAAUCAGGCUGGAAAAGAGAUAUCCGACGCUGAGCACGUUUCGUAAAAGAUGGCAGAAUGUGGAGAGAAAGUUGAGGAUGAAUUGGAGCCGGUUAAGCUCAACCAUCCAGCCGGAACUGAAGGAAACGUCAGUCAACGGCGAUGGGCCUAUGAGCCCGGGUAACUUUCACGUGUAAAUAUUUAUUCAUAAUUUUAUUAAUUUUAAAUCGAAAUUAAUUUUAAUCGGAAUUUAAAAAAAAGGAAAACACGAACUCUCUAUGUUUUGUCUGUUCUUGUACUGUCCUCUCUUCGUUAUGUCCAGUGUGGCAAAUAAAGAAAGAGUUCGUUCUAUGGAACAUGCAAAUGAUCCGCAUCUCGAACGCCAUCCA